rnacentral:pre_miRNA from 1 species
AUGCUACUCCCUCCGUUCGGAAUUACUUGUCUUGGAAAUGGAUGUAUCUAAAACUAAAAUACAUCUAGAUACAUCCAUUUCUGCGACAAGUAAUUCCGAACGGAGGGAGUAGGUG